GGACGGGGGUUGAUGGGUUUCCGGCAAAGAUCUGCGCAGCUGCGACAACACACCGAGUAGGUGAAGGACCUUUUGCUGGGCGCUGUGGUCGUUGUCCGGUGGAGCGAGCCCUCUGGGUGAGUGGAGGUGUGUGCGUGUGCACCGAGACAACAACUCAGGGAAAAACGAUACAUCACACGUUUUCACGGAGGUGCGCAGAGCAGGACUGCUUGGACCGACAGGUUCAGAGGAUCCAGGAACUCCUUAGAGUCAUCUCGGCAAUGUUCCCAACCCUUCGUUUGAUGGAUUGCUUCUGCCAACAGCUGCAGUACCCGGCUCGUUGGGUCCACAGUGGAGACAGCAAAACCUCUGGUCGCUCAUGAAGUGUUGGACUAAUAUAUGCUACAUGCUAAGUCGCUUCAGUCAUGUCAACUUCUUGUGACCCCAUGGACUGUAGCCCACCAGGCUCCCCUGUCCAUGGGAUUCUCCAAGCAAGAAUACUGGAGUGGGUUGCCAUUUCCUCCUCUGGAGAAUCUUCCCCACCCAGGGAUCGAACCCGCAUCUCUUUACGUCUCCUGCGUUGGCAGGCGAGUUCUUU
ensembl:lncRNA